rnacentral:lncRNA from 1 species
AAAGGGGGGUGAAGAGAGAAACUUGGGAGCAAGGCUCUAUGGGGGGGUCCCCUCCUUGGAGAUUUAUUGUCAUGCAUAGGCUGAUGACCAGCAGCUGACAGACAGAGGCAGCUGAGAGAGCCAGCCUUGUGGCCCAAGGCUGGCAUUGGAGUGGACCCUGAAUGAUGGCUCUUCUCUCCGACGCUCCAGUGAUCCUGAGAGUGAAGAAGUGGAGCAUGCUCGGAACUUGGUGGACUUGUGGAAGUCUGAGGAAACUCAGAUUCUUGGCCUCUCCAGUGUGAGGCAGCCAUGGCUGAACUACCUGGACCACACCCUAAGCCAAUCUAAUAAAUCCUCCUUUAAUAUC